rnacentral:rRNA from 1 species
UACAGAGGUCUCGAGCGUUGUUCGGAUUCAUUGGGCGUAAAGGGUGCGUCGGUGGUCUGGUAAGUCGGAUGUGAAAUCCCGGAGCUUAACUUCGGAACUGCAUUCGAUACUGCCGGACUGGAGUACUGGAGAGGAGAUCGGAAUUUACGGUGUAGCAGUGAAAUGCGUAGAUAUCGUAAGGAAGACCAGUGGCGAAGGCGGAUCUCUGGACAGUUACUGACACUGAGGCACGAAGGCCAGGGGAGCAAACGGG